UGUAUCACAGUGAUGUUCCUGUAAGUAAAGUACUUUCCAAUCAAUCAUUCUUGGAAUAAUGGAACAGUUCUCAUUGAUACAACAUGAUGGUUUUAACCUUUCACUGAAAAUUAUUUUUGUGCCGAAAGGGGUGAUGGUAUAAUUCAUCUUCCUUCAUACAGUUACCCAUGUGGCUACUAUUUAUUGCCUUCUCAGAACGAUUUCCUCUUAAGGAAGAGCUGCUUCAUGGAUGUGGUGUUUGGAAAUUCCUGCUUGCCUGAGGUCCCUCACUCCAGGGUUCUGAGACGUUCUGGUCUGUGGUCCGUGGGGAGGCUGCUGGUUACCAGUGCAGUGCAAGGACAGCAAAACCUACACCUGCGCCUUCUGUGGGGUGCGUGGGGCAGUGUGGAGGCAGUAGGCGCUUUAUGAGGUGUGAUCAAAAACAUGGUGAAUGUUGCUGCCAAGUGGCCUUGCAUGGAAAGGCAGGCUCAUAAAAACAGGGUGCGUCCUCACCCACCUCGUUCACUGGAUCUGGCACUGUGUGACUUCUGAUUCUUCCCCAAAGUCAAAACGACCUUGAAAGGUAAACUUUAAUCAAUUUAGGACACUGAGGCAGCUAUGACAGUGCAACUAAUGACACUCAUGGGAACGUCAGACUUCUAGAGCAACUUCCGAAAGUGGCAAGAGCAACAGUUGCUCUUUCACUCUUGGAUCUUGAGCCAGGUCUAUACUGUGACAAAGAAGGGAGGUGCGGAGCAGUUGUUCUGGGAUUGUAACUGUCCUAAAAGCUGGUGUGGAUGGUUCACAGCGAACUACACAUGACUUGGCUUCAGUACCUGGCCGAAGACACCCACCAGUUGUCAUGACAGCACACACCAGACCAUGAAAGGAAUAAAAAGAGGUGGCAGCCACCUGUGGGAGACCUCUGCUUGUUCCGCGGAAGUCCUGAAUACUCUUUCCCCUUAUUAGCCUGUCUCUCUCCCUCAGUAUUCCUAUCUGACCCUGCUAAUUCCCCAGCUGUGGGAUAGAGAAGCUGAUGUGUGCGGGAGGCUCCCGCUUCUCACUCUUCGGUCACUGAAUAAACUUGUGUUUCAACA